GAUGAACGCUAGCGGCAGGCUUAACACAUGCAAGUCGAGGGGUAGUCUAGCAAUAGAUGAGACCGGCGCACGGGUGCGUAACGCGUAUGCAAUCUACCUUUUACAGAGGGAUAGCCCAGAGAAAUUUGGAUUAAUACCUCAUAGUAUAACGACUCGGCAUCGAGAUGUUAUUAAAGUUCCAACGGUAAAAGAUGAGCAUGCGUCCCAUUAGCUAGUUGGUGUGGUAACGGCACACCAAGGCAACGAUGGGUAGGGGUCCUGAGAGGGAGAUCCCCCACACUGGUACUGAGACACGGACCAGACUCCUACGGGAGGCAGCAGUGAGGAAUAUUGGUCAAUGGGCGCAAGCCUGAACCAGCCAUGCCGCGUGCAGGAUGACGGUCCUAUGGAUUGUAAACUGCUUUUGUACAGGAAGAAACACUCCCUCGUGAGGGAGCUUGACGGUACUGUAAGAAUAAGGAUCGGCUAACUCCGUGCCAGCAGCCGCGGUAAUACGGAGGAUCCAAGCGUUAUCCGGAAUCAUUGGGUUUAAAGGGUCCGUAGGCGGGUUUAUAAGUCAGUGGUGAAAGCCCAUCGCUCAACGAUGGAACGGCCAUUGAUACUGUAGAUCUUGAAUUAUUAGGAAGUAACUAGAAUAUGUAGUGUAGCGGUGAAAUGCUUAGAGAUUACAUGGAAUACCAAUUGCGAAGGCAGGUUACUACUAAUGGAUUGACGCUGAUGGACGAAAGCGUGGGUAGCGAACAGGAUUAGAUACCCUGGUAGUCCACGCCGUAACGAUGGAUACUAGCUGUUCGGAGCAAUCUGAGUGGCUAAGCGAAAGUGAUAAGUAUCCCACCUGGGGAGUACGUUCGCAAGAAUGAA
rnacentral:rRNA from 1 species